GAGCCAGACUUUCUUUGCUCUCAUAACUCUUCUGCGGAAAGACAGUUGAGACUGGAGAUUGCUUGUGAAGUACCCAAGAAGGAAAGAGGGCACAUUGUGACCCGUCCGAUGAAGCCCUCGGAGCUACGGAAGAACCGGCCACCUGGCUAGGUAGAAAGUCUCUUGGAUGAUGCUCGCCAAGAAGGAGGUUGUCAUUUGAAAGGAAAGGGAAGCAAGAGCUAAUCCGCAGGGGUGGAUAUAAAUCCCAAUGUGGCAGAGUCAAGUGGCAUCAGGACCGAGGAAUGUAAAAAGAUAUCAGUGGGGAGGCAUAUCUCUCCAACACCCCACGAGAGAUUCUUCAUUUACUCAAGCUGUCACCAGCAGGGGAUGGCUCCAGACACUCUCAAAUACAACCCGCAACCAAGGAGCUCAACUACAGAACAUGAUGUAAAUGCUGCACUGCCAUGUUAGAGUCUGAUAACGGACUGCAUUCCUGACUGGCUAUUAUUUUAGUCUCUCCUGAUAAGAGAGAAAUGAUAAUAAUGUAACCUCCCGCCCUUCCAAGGCAGAGAGCAGCAGACUCUAAUUCUUAGUCUGUGUCUGUAUUAAAAAGGUUCAUCGAAUGGCAGCCACUGAUCACGCAGUGCUAAGGAUGGUUAGUCAGACUCCUGGAUCCCUAAAUAUUGAUUUAUGUUAUCAUUGUUCUGUUUGCCUCUGCCAAGAAAAGUAAUAGCUCACUAUGUUUGUGGCUUUUUGUUCUUAAUAGAAAACAACCUCACACCUCCCAAAAUAAAAUCAUGAACUGCAAUUGGAUUAAUGAGCCUCAGGCAACUUUUUAACAAAAUGUAACAGAUUCUAAAUUGAAUUCCAUGAGUUAUUAAAUGACAGGUGUGUUUUGUUUUAA